ensembl:lncRNA
UGGUGGCUGCCUCUUUAAACACGUUCCAGUCUGUGCACUGAAAGCAGUUGUACGCGUUCCCAAUGUUGCUUCUUUGCGUGCCAUUGCUGCCACUUGCGGUUUUGAAGAUAAAGCUGACGACAUGAUACGAGACCAGUUACUUGAACAUUUGUGUAGUGACAGUAUCAGAGAAAGGCUGUUACUGGAGUCAGACUUCACACUAGAUACAGUGUAAUGCUUGCAACGCAGAUGGAAGUGGCAGCUGAUCAAGCUAAAAAAAAAUGGUCUCAGACAGAGGAACCACAGAAAGGGGAAUCCCAGUGCAGGUUGUGCGUUCCAAAUCACACAAAAAUAUGAACAACAGCCCCAUCGCCCAGCCAAGCCUCAUGCCACCACUCCCCCACCACUGCCCCAUGUAAGUCCUGCUUUAGAUCCGGCUCUGAUAAGCACUCCUCUCAGUGUCCUGCUGCAAAUGCUCAAUGCAAAUCUAGUAAUAAAACGGGUAAUUUUGCCCGUUUAUGCCGUUCCGCCCCAACUAGCAAAGUGCAUGAGGUGCAGUUACCUGAUGUAACCAUACUGUAUUUGGACAAUUCUGAUAAAGCCCCGAAAAGACUGUUCAGCGAUGCCACUGUUCCCACACCUGCUUCUGUUGCCAAGGAGAUACGUCUUAUUGUAGAUACAGGUUCUGCUGUCUCCAUACUGCCGCAUCACAUCUACAAGCAACAUUUUAGUCUCACCCCAUUAUCUCCACCUGCAGCUAGACUUGUGACCUACACACAAACACGUAUACCAGUACUUGGAUGUCUCCAUGCUCAGGUGCUUGUAGAAAAUUCUAGUGCUCCAGCCACAUUCUUUGUAGUAGAGGAUGGCACUGCAUUAUUAGGUAUGGACUUAAUCAGUAGCCUGCAUCUCUCUGUUAAUGCUGAUACAGCCAUGCCAGUCACCCCUGUCUUACCCACAAUUGUGACCGCAACCUUCCUUGCACCCCCACCUGAGAUAGGAUGUGUAAAACAGUUUGUACAUAAAGUAAAAAUAUAUCCUACAGUCCAACCCAUCUGUCAGAAACUGCGGAAAAAGAGAAAGAGAAUGAUGUGCGCGGCAGUGCACCAAAUGAGUCGCAGUAGAAAC